rnacentral:rRNA from 1 species
UACGUAGGUGGCAAGCGUUGUCCGGAUUUACUGGGCGUAAAGAGCGCGCAGGCGGUCGUUCAAGUCGCGUGUGAAAGCCCCCGGCUCAACUGGGGAGGGUCACGCGAUACUGAUCGACUCGAAGGCAGGAGAGGGUAGUGGAAUUCCCGGUGUAGUGGUGAAAUGCGUAGAGAUCCGGAGGAACACCAGAGGCGAAGGCGGCGCACCGGGCUGCACCUGACGCUGAUCCGCGAAAGCCAGGGGAGCGAACGGG